CCCAUGCACGAGGACAGAUAUGGCGUUUGAGAUGUCAGAUAUGCCUGUUCAGCUGUGACGGACCAUAAGGACAUUCUAGAAUGUCUGGGAAUAGUGACGUUAAGCCUGAUCUGGCCAGCGAUUCUGACUGAAGUGACUGAGGACCAUCUGCAGUCUUUCUUCUGUGAUAUGAGCUAAAGGAGCUUCAUCCCACUCAGGUCCUGAGAGAUGGUGGUUUCAGGGGAUAUGAAUGACUUCACAGCCGCCACAGUUCUGUCUAUUAUGGUGUGAGAGUACCGAGAGACUGAAUCACAGACGCAGACCCUGCAGGCCACUGAAUCAUCCUCUGUUUAAAACAUAGACGCUCAUCAGUGUCCAAGCUGUCUUCUGGAAGCUUAAGUUUGUCUUCAGCUAUGGCAAACAAAUGUCAAGAGCAGCCAUGAGCAACACACAACCCCCUCAGGAGCAGCACUGUUGAUGUUUAAGAGUGGGAAGUACCCAUUUGAAACCACUGUCCAUUAAGUGUGUUGGGAACAGGUCCUCCUUUCUGUGUGGGUGGUCUGCAAAGCUUCACUGGAAAAAUCGCAGCAGAAGCAGCAUGUUGUAUCGGCUCGUAGCCAGAAGCCCAGAUGUGACAUUAAUUGUUUUUAAUCUGCUCAGUGAGCCAGUAGUCCCUAUUCACACUCAGUAAAUAUAGGGAUACACUUGUAAGUUAAACAAUAAAACUUCAUAUUUAAGUUCAAGUUGGAGGAAUGGGAAAUGUAAUGUUUUUGAUGUAAUUCAACCUGACAGUUACAUGACCUAUAAUGGUUUCAUGAAAAGACUGUGUGCUGUGGAUCCAAAAUGCACUUUUUUUAUGCACCAGCUCUGUCAAAGGCGAGUGAUUUAAGAACAUUUUAACAGAACUAAAUCUUAUCAACCACAAAACUACAUUUUAUGUUUAUUUAAAACAUAUGUUGUCUGAUUGACUCAUUUUAAAGCUAUACCUACAAAAAAAAAUUGGCCAUAAAAGUCACAAAUGUUUUUUUUUUUUUUUCUUCUUUUUUUUUUGUUAAUUGAGAUGAGUCUCUGAUAACAAAGUACAUCACGGAGAUGUCUAUUUGAUGUCUGGAUUUACAUCUGCAAAACGUAGUUUUCAAGUGUUUGCUCAUCUGCAAUAUAUCUAUAAGACGUUUCCUAUCAGAUGUCAAAGAGACAUUUAGAAGAUGUCUUAGAAUGUAUGUAAAACGAACAUCUUAAAGAUGUUCAUGAUGAAAGAUCAGAUUUUUACACAGCAGAUGCUUUCCAGAUGAAGCAAUCUUUAACAGACAUCUUGCAGAUAUACGUGUGCUAUCUAGGCUGAGUCUUUGAUUUUUUUUCUAUUUGAUUUGUCACAAAAGUGUCAAAAUACAUUUUGGCUGACAUCAUUUUAUUACUGUUAAGGAAUAUUUUCACACUGCAUUUAACCAUGGGUUAUCAUCAUUCUAAACUCCACCUUCAACUCCAGAUGUGUUUCACACUCAUGAUUUAGUUGCAGGAUUUGGUGUUAGAGGGUUAUGUCUAUGCUUAGGAACAGCCAACCAAUCAUAAGCCUUUCGAAGUUCAUUCAGGAGAAACAUAAUAGUCUUCUAUAUUUAUUAGGACGUGCAAUGCUUGAGCUGUUCUGUAAACAGGUCAAGUACUGCAUUUGUCCAAUCAAUGACACUGAUACUACAAACAUGUAAAAUAACAACGUCAGCAGUUUU